rnacentral:rRNA from 1 species
GGGGGGGGCAAGCGUUGUUCGGAAUUACUGGGCGUAAAGGGCUCGUAGGCGGCCAACUAAGUCGGAUGUGAAAUCCCCAGGCUCAACCUGGGAACUGCAUCCGAUACUGGAUGGCUUGAAUUCGGGAGAGGGAUGCAGAAUUCCAGGUGUAGCGGUGAAAUGCGUAGAUAUCUGGAGGAAUACCGGUGGCGAAGGCGGCAUCCUGGACCGACAUUGACGCUGAUGAGCGAAAGCUAGGGGAGCNNNNNNNAUUAGAUACCCCGGUAGUCCUAGCCCUAAACGAUGAAUGCUUGGUGUAACGGGUAUCGAUCCCUGUUGUGCCGAAGCUAACGCAUUAAGCAUUCCGCCUGGGGAGUACGGUCGCAAGGCUG